UGCAACUCGACUGCACGAAGCUGGAAUCGCUAGUAAUCGCGGAUCAGAAUGCCGCGGUGAAUACGUUCCCGGGUCUUGUACACACCGCCGUCACACCAUGGGAGUCAGUAACGCCCGAAGUCAGUGACCUAACCGAAAGGGAGGAGCUGCCGAAGGCGGGACGGAUGACUGGGGUGAAGUCGUAACAAGGUACC
rnacentral:rRNA from 1 species